rnacentral:lncRNA from 1 species
UUUUCUUGACAUAACACAAAAGAAAUUUAUUUCCUUUUUCUAUGAGGCAAGAAAACUCUUUGGUAGUGAAGGAAAGAUAGAGGUUAUGAAUUGAUGUGUCUCAUCAUGAGUCCAUUAAACACCACGAUGACAACACUGCGGUAGUUCCGUGAGGUGCUCUUCUUUUACAGGAUUGGUAUUUGGUAGUGGUAUACCAAAAUUUCACAUUAAAGUUGCUGAAUUCAUACGCUGGGAGUAUUAAAAAUCAUGCCAUUAUCUUGCACUAGUUUAUUAAAAAUCACAUCCUUUGGAUUUCACUGCGGUAGGAGUAUUGAAUUUAUGAUAUGAUUAUUCAUUAUUAUUAAUUAAUUAAUAGAGCCACGAG